UGUUGGAGCGGCGGAGGUCGCUGGGGAAAGAGCAGAAGGAGAGGGAAACAUGCACCUGUUAGCGGCGGAGGGAGAAGGGCAGUGAGGGGGGAAUGGGGCGGAGGGACACCCCCCUCCCUCCCUCCUUCCUCCCGCCUUACUCGAUGAAGAAGACCCGGCCGUCCCUGCAGACGCCGUAGGACCAGUGCUCAGUAUUCCAGAUAUUUGGAAGUUCACAGAAGCCUAGAAACCCCAGCCAACAUAGUCAAUGACUCUGAAUUCUUCAGCAUCUAUUCAAUGAACUGAACUGAAAUGUUAAUAAACAUGGGCAAUGCAGUUUGUCAUAGCUUGCAUUCAUACAUGUGUAAUCAUUCUGAAGAAAAUAAUGAAUACUGAAAAGUUAAAUGGUCACCUUCAAUGAGCUCUGUAAGAACUGCCUACAAACAACAGCAGAAUGAGUCAGAUCUUUCGUAGAAGUUGUACCAGGCAAAGAUAAAUGGAAGAACUCGGAAAGGUCAU